CUAAACACCCCCCUUCUUGGUAACACCUGUGCCCGCAGCUCCUUCCUCUAACCUGCUUUUCUGCUUCUGUAAAAUUCCGCUUCAGCUAGGCUCCCCCUCCCCUACCUAAAUCAAGGUAUAAAAAAUAAUCAAGCCCUUCCUCGGGGCCGAGAGAAUUUUAAGCAUUAGCCGUCUCUUGGUCGCUGGCAAAUCAAUAAAGAACUCUUAAUUUGAAACUCAGAGCAUGGCGUGUUCCUUCUAACUCGCUAAUUUGCGACAUUUGGAAGCCCCAGUGAGAAAUUUGCCACCAGGUGCAAACUGGGCUCGUUCAGAGCUCCCACGGGGGAGGAGGCGGACUGCAGGGGAGGCGCCUGUUCCAGGGUCCCAUUAACCACCCCUUACCGGAGGAGAGCGGAUCCCCGGUGCACUCCACUAAAUUAUUCUUCGGAGUCCCUGGUCCUGCUCCGCGGAGAAGAUAAGAAAUGAUCUCAGGAUACUUCAGUACUAUCCCACUAACAAGGGAUGGAUUAGAAAAUUAAUCCCUGGUCUAGAUACACCAAAGUCAAAACUCUUUGUGUAACACAGGCCACUCCCAUGAGGAGAUGGAUUGCUACGUACCAAGGAAAACAAACACA
rnacentral:lncRNA from 1 species